GCGGGAGGAGCCUGCGGGGGCGAGGAGUGCGUCUCAAGGUCCUCCCUGCACAUCUGGCGCAAUGGGGAGCGUUCGCCUUUCUUCCCCCGGUUUUGUUCUCACAGCUGUGUCCAUUCCGCCCGUGACCCCGCGAGUGAUCCCUGACAGCUAGUAAAUGGCAUUAACAAAGCGUUUCACGGACUACAACGGCUUAACAGUGGCUCCUCCCCUGCCCUGCGACCAUCCGGGCCGUCAUUCCUUCCAGGAUUCCCGCGCGGUUCUGUGUGCCCAGAGCGCGAGCGCCAGGAUUUUGGGUGAAGAAUACAGAGACGUUCCAUUUCAAAGAAAAAAGGAUGAUGCAACAGCCUUCUUUAAGGAGAGAGUAAAUAUUCGCUUUAGGGAACACCUGCACCCCUGGUUUGCAGUCGGUCCUUGGGUGAGUCACCGUGAGCCCCAGGUUCCCAUCUGUAAAGGAUGGGUAGCGCUCCUUCACCUGUUUCUUCACUAA
rnacentral:lncRNA from 1 species